rnacentral:rRNA from 1 species
AAUUACUGGGCGUAAAGCGCAUGCAGGUGGUUUGUUAAGUCAGAUGUGAAAGCCCGGGCUCAACCUCGGAAUAGCAUUUGAAACUGGCAGACUAGAGUACUGUAGAGGGGGGUAGAAUUUCAGGUGUAGCGGUGAAAUGCGUAGAGAUCUGAAGGAAUACCGGUGGCGAAGGCGGCCCCCUGGACAGAUACUGACACUCAGAUGCGAAAGCGUGGGGAGCAAACAGGAUUAGAUACCCUGGUAGUCCACGCCGUAAACGAUGUCUACUUGGAGGUUGUGGCCUUGAGCCGUGGCUUUCGGGSUAACGCGUUAAGUAGACCGCCUGGGGAGUACGGUCGCAAGAUUAAAACUCAAAUGAAUUGACGGGGGCCCGCACAAGCGGUGGAGCAUGUGGUUUAAUUCGAUGCAACGCGAAGAACCUUACCUACUCUUGACAUCCAGAGAACUUUCCAGAGAUGGAUUGGUGCUUCGGGAACUCUGAGACAGGUGCUGCAUGGCUGUCGUCAGCUCGUGUUGUGAAAUGUUGGGUUAAGUCCCGCAACGAGCGCAACCCUUAUCCUUGUUUGCCAGCACUUCGGGUGGGAACUCCAGGGAGACUGCCGGUGAUAAACCGGAGGAAGGUGGGGACGACGUCAAGUCAUCAUGGCCCUUACGAGUAGGGCUACACACGUGCUACAAUGGCGCAUACAGAGGGCGGCCAACUUGCGAGAGUGAGCGAAUCCCAAAAAGUGCGUCGUAGUCCGGAUCGGAGUCUGCAACUCGACUCCGUGAAGUCGGAAUCGCUAGUAAUCGUGGAUCAGAAUGCCACGGUGAAUACGUUCCCGGGCCUUGUACACACCGCCCGUCACACCAUGGGAGUGGGCUGCAAAAGAAGUAGGUAGUUUAACUUCGGGAGGACGCUUACCACUUUGUGGUUCAUGACUGGGGUGAAGUCGUAACAAGGUAACC